rnacentral:rRNA from 1 species
GACGAACGCUGGCGGCGUGCCUAAUACAUGCAAGUCGUGCGGACCUUUUAAAAGCUUGCUUUUAAAAGGUUAGCGGCGGACGGGUGAGUAACACGUGGGCAACCUGCCUGUAAGACUGGGAUAACGCCGGGAAACCGGGGCUAAUACCAGAUCGUUUUUUCCUCCGCAUGGAGGAAAAAGGAAAGGCGGCUUCGGCUGCCACUUACAGAUGGGCCCGCGGCGCAUUAGCUAGUUGGCGGGGUAACGGCCCACCAAGGCAACGAUGCGUAGCCGACCUGAGAGGGUGAUCGGCCACAUUGGGACUGAGACACGGCCCAAACUCCCACGGGAGGCAGCAGUAGGGAAUCUUCCGCAAUGGACGAAAGUCUGACGGAGCAACGCCGCGUGAGUGAAGAAGGCCUUCGGGUCGUAAAACUCUGUUGCCGGGGAAGAACAAGUGCCGUUCGAACAGGGCGGCGCCUUGACGGUACCCGGCCAGAAAGCCACGGCUAACUACGUG